rnacentral:rRNA from 1 species
CUUCUCUUGUGUUUUUUUGAGGUAUGGCCUGCCCGCUGAUUUUUUUGAAGGGCCGCGGUAUCUUGACCGUGCAAAGGUAGCAUAAUCAUUAGUCUUUUAAUUGUGGGCUGGAAUGAAUGGUUUGACGAGAUAUAAUCUGUCUCUUUUUGAUUUAUUGAAUUUUGGUUUUAGGUAAGAAUACCUAAAUUUUUUUAUGGGACGAGAAGACCCUAUAGAGUUUUAUAUUUAUGAUGAUUUUUUUGUUGGUUUUUCUUUAUAUUGUUUUUUUUAUUUUGCUGGGGCGGCUAGGAGAUUUGUUUAACUCUUCUUUUAUUUUUUUAUUUAUUUAUAUUUUUUUGAUCCUUUAUUAUUGAUUUUAAGAUUAAAUUACC